UACGGAGGAUGCAAGCGUUAUCCGGAAUGAUUGGGCGUAAAGCGUCCGCAGGUGGCUGUGUAAGUCUGCUGUGAAAGCGCAAGGCUCAACUUUGUAAAGGCAGUGGAAACUACACGGCUAGAGUGCGGUAGGGGCAGAGGGAAUUCCUGGUGUAGCGGUGAAAUGCGUAGAGAUCAGGAAGAACACCGGUGGCGAAGGCGCUCUGCUGGGCCGCAACUGACACUGAGGGACGAAAGCGAGGGGAGCGAAUGGG
rnacentral:rRNA from 1 species